rnacentral:rRNA from 1 species
CCUACGGGAGGCAGCAGUGGGGAAUAUUGGGCAAUGGGCGCAAGCCUGACCCAGCAACGCCGCGUGAAGGAAGAAGGCUUUCGGGUUGUAAACUUCUUUUGGCAGGGAAAAGUAGAAGACGGUACCUGACGAAUAAGCCACGGCUAACUACGUGCCAGCAGCCGCGGUAAUACGUAGGUUGCAAGCGUUGUCCGGAUUUACUGGGUGUAAAGGGCGUGUAGCCGGGUUGACAAGUCAGAUGUGAAAUCCUGCGGCUUAACCGCAGAACUGCAUUUGAAACUGUUGAUCUUGAGUACUGGAGAGGCAGAUGGAAUUCCUAGUUUAGCGGUGAAAUGCGUAGAUAUUAGGAGGAACACCAGUGGCGAAGGCGGUCUGCUGGACAGCAACUGACGGUGAGGCGCGAAAGCGUGGGGAGCAAACAGGAUUAGAUACCCCAGUAUC